rnacentral:rRNA from 1 species
GAUGAACGCUGGCGGCGUGCCCAAUACAUGCAAGUCGAGAGAAGCGGGGACGGGUGAGUAACACGUGGAUAACGUCCUAUAAGACUGGCAUACCUUCGGGAAACCGGCGCUAAAACGGAUACUUAUAGUUUGAUCCGCGCUGCAUUAGCUAGUUGGUAAGGUAACGGCUUACCAAGGAAACGAUGCAUAGCCGACCGUAGAGGGUUAUCGGCCACACUGGAACUGGGACACGGUCCAAAAUCCUACGGGAGGCAGCAGUAGGGAAUCUUCCGCAAUGGGCGAAAUCCUGACGUAGCAACGCCGCGUGAGUGAUGAAGGUCUUCGGAUCGUAAAACUCUGUUAGUAGGGAAGCGGUACCUAAUCAGAAAGCCACGGCUAACUACGUGCCAGCAGCCGCGGUAAUUC